UGGCAGAAGCCACUGCUUCUUUUGGUCGAAAAGCCGAAGCCAGCAACCCCAUGCUUUUAGAAGCAGGCACUGGCUUUUCCACUGUAGCGGGAGUUACUGUAGUUUAAUGAACAUUUCGAAAUACCGGGUUGUGUCCUCUCUUCCUUUCAGCAAUUACACCACACUGCCAUCAAACCCUUGCUCUUGCAUCUCGCUGACUGCCUCCUCUCAUUCCUGUUCGAAGCCUCAAUCCAAUCCCCAGAUUUUCGUACCAGGCUCUGAAAAUCGAAAGCUCUGCAGAUAGGUGACCUUGGAGUUCUUGGAACUGGAAUACCAAUAGGAAAACUUGAUAUGUAUGUUGCUGCAGCUGGUAUUAAUUCAGAGUCAUUGGGAGAUCAAGCGGAAUACCAAGCAACGCAGCAAGUUAUAUUAUCUUUCAUCAUGUAAAACUUAGCUAGGAAACUUGAAAAUUGAAAUGUAUGAAUGCAAUAACAAUGUUCCUUAAAUCAAAUAAAUUGAUGUUUCACAA